AGGAGCUGUUGGAGCAGAGGGGACUCAGAGCUGGCAACAAGGUCUUUCCUGAGCCACAGUGACUUUGGAAGCCACAUGUUCUAGAUGACUUAGCUGGCUACAAGAAUGCAGGAGGCUGCAUGACCCUAUCAUCUGAGUAUGUGUCCAAAACUUGCAACUGGAGGAGACUAGUUGUAAGAGCUAAGCAUCUAGCAGGAGUUCAAUAAAGGAUGGUUCACUUCACCCUAG
rnacentral:lncRNA from 10 species